CCUGGGCCUGAGGGAGAGGCGCCUCCGCCGGCCGCAGCCCUCACCCAGGCGGGGAGGCGGUGUCGUUCUCGCUCUGCCCGCCCGGCACCGCAGCGGCCAGGGUAUGGCUGUCAUCACUGCAUGUUCAACCCAGCAAGAUAUUGCAGCCAAUUCCAGCAGUGUGCUGUGCCACCUUCAGGAGAAGAAAUGUUCAACUAAAUUUGACUCUUCAGUGGAAAAAAAUCACUCUUCAGUUAUUGGCAGAGGUGCAUAGCACAGAGAACAAGCCCACUCACUCUUUGGAAACUGCAUGAUGUGUAAUGCAGGAUACAUGGUAUGGUAUUGCCUGGUCUGAAUGGAUAACAGCUGUAAGGUGCACACACUGCUUCCUAAAGGAGAGCAUCCCAGGGUCUCCAGGAACUUCCCUUACUGCUCUGCUGUAAAGUCUCAUGGGCUGGAGAAAGCACUAACCCUCUCCAGAAGCCUCUAAAUUGGAUUGGAGAUUAUUUGAAGCACACUCACACCAAGUAAGUUCAUCCAAGUAAACUACAUGAGCUCCUACAACUGAAACAUCACUGGGAUGUUUGGGGUGUCCUGAACCUUUGUAAAAAGUACGGCAGAAAGAAUUUUCUCAGAUU
rnacentral:lncRNA from 1 species